AUUGAACGCUGGCGGCAGGCCUAACACAUGCAAGUCGAACGAGUGGCGGACUGGUGAGUAAUGUCUGGGAAACUGCCUGAUGGAUGGGGAUAACUCCUGGAAACGGUAGCUAAUACCGCAUACCAUCAGAUUUUCCCAGAUGGGUUUAGCUUGUUGGUGGGGUAACGGCUCACCAAGGCGACGAUCCCUAGCUGGUCUGAGAGGAUGACGAGCAAAACUGGAACUGAGACAGGGUGCAGACUCCUACGGGAGGCAGGAGUGGGGAAUAUUGCACAAGGGGCGCAAGACUGAUGCAGCAAGGCCGCGUGUAUGAAGAAGGCCUGCGGGUUGUAAAGUACUUUCAGCGGGGAGGCGUGACAGGAAGAAGAAGCACAGGCUAACUCCGUGCCAGCAGCCGCGGGAAGAG
rnacentral:rRNA from 1 species